rnacentral:rRNA from 1 species
CUUCACUCUAACUUGGUACUGGCGCAUACGUUGCGGUGUGCAGGAUAGGCGGGAGACUGCGAAGGAGGGGCGCCAGCCCUUCCGGAGUCGUCGUUGAGAUACCGCCCUCCGCAUCGUGUGCGUCUAACCCCGAAUCGGGGGACAGUGCUUGGCGGGGAGUUUAACUGGGGCGGUUGCCUCCUAAAACGUAACGGAGGCGCGCAAAGGUGGGCUAUUCCCGGAUGGAAAUCGGGAAGAUAGAGUAUUCGCAUAAGCCCGCUUGACUGGGAGACCUACAAGUCGAUCAGAGACGAAAGUCGGCGAAAGUGAUCCGGCACCAACAUGUGGGAGUGGUGUCGCUCAACGGAUAAAAGUUA